rnacentral:lncRNA from 1 species
GUGUCUGUAGAUUUUAUUUUUUUUUUAACAUGGCAUUUAUUUUCUACUUUUUUCAUUUAGCGAACACUGCUCAGGAGAAUGCAGGCCAAAUCAACUAACACCAACCCUGAGGUCACACCAACCCCAACUGUAUCGAGCACCCUGAUGAACUGAUGAGCUUUUUUUCCAGAGAAGCUGGAGGUGUUUCAGGAAAUUCACACUGUUCUCAUUUUCAUCAAUGUGAAAUCAUGAAAAUCAGGGAAGAAUAUGUGACAAACACUGUGUUCCUUUUCUUGACUAGUUAGAAAAAUCGUUAUUGUAAUGAUUAGACUUUCAAAUAAAUCUUUGUGCAUCAAAAAAAAU